UGCCGAAACACGGGAUCGAACACCAGGGACAUUUAGAUCUUCAGUCUAACGGUCUCCCAACUGAGCGCCAUUACAGGU